UACGAAGGGGGCUAGCGUUGCUCGGAAUUACUGGGCGUAAAGGGAGCGUAGGCGGAUAGUUCAGUCAGAGGUGAAAUCCCGGGGCUCAACCUCGGAACUGCCUUUGAUACUGGCUAUCUUGAGUAUGGGAGAGGUGUGUGGAACUCCGAGUGUAGAGGUGAAAUUCGUAGAUAUUCGGAAGAACACCAGUGGCGAAGGCGACACACUGGCCCAUUACUGACGCUGAGGCUACGAAAGGCGUGGGGAGCAAACAGGG
rnacentral:rRNA from 1 species